CGCCGCUGCCCCCGCGCUCCGCCCAGACUGGGGCCGCGCUCCCCGCGCUGACCGCCGGAGCGCUCCGGGCCCGUCGCACGCGCUUGCUCACACCCACGCGGCCACCCACACCCGCGCCCACACCCCUCGCCUUUCCCCCGAAGGCUCUCGCCCGUCCACCUGCGCUCCCGCUCGCACACGCGCUCCCCACGCGCGCCCCGCCCCACGCGCCCGCACGCUCCCGCUCCCCCUCGGCCCGCUGACCCCGCGGGGGCGCAGGCACCGCCAGCGAGAGCGCGGAGGACCCACGGGCUCCCCAUGGCUGACCUGAGCUUCAUCGAAGAUGCCGUCGCCUUCCCGGAGAAAGAGGAGGAUGAAGAGGAGGAGGAGGAGGGCGUGGAGUGGGGCUACGAAGAAGGUGUUGAAUGGGGGUUGGUGUUUCCUGAUGCGAAUGGGGAGUACCAGUCUCCCAUUAACCUGAAUUCAAGGGAAGCCAGAUAUGACCCCUCACUGCUGGAUGUCCGCCUCUCGCCAAAUUAUGUAGUCUGCCGAGACUGUGAGGUCACCAAUGAUGGACAUACCAUUCAGGUUAUCCUGAAGUCAAAAUCAGUUCUUUCGGGAGGUCCAUUGCCUCAAGGGCAUGAAUUCGAACUGUACGAGGUUCGAUUUCAUUGGGGAAGAGAAAACCAGCGUGGUUCUGAGCACACAGUUAAUUUCAAAGCUUUUCCCAUGGAGUUGCAUCUGAUCCACUGGAACUCCACCCUGUUUGGCAGUAUUGACGAGGCUGUGGGGAAGCCGCAUGGAAUCGCCAUCAUCGCUUUGUUUGUUCAGAUAGGAAAAGAACAUGUAGGCCUAAAGGCUGUGACUGAAAUCCUCCAGGAUAUUCAGUAUAAGGGGAAGUCUAAAAUAAUACCCUGCUUUAAUCCUAACACUUUAUUACCAGAUCCUCUGCUGCGUGAUUAUUGGGUGUAUGAAGGCUCGCUCACUAUUCCACCUUGCAGUGAAGGUGUCACCUGGAUAUUAUUCCGAUACCCUUUAACUAUAUCCCAGCUACAGAUUGAAGAAUUCCGCAGGCUGAGGACACAUGUGAAGGGGGCAGAACUCGUGGAAGGCUGUGAUGGGAUUUUGGGAGACAAUUUUAGACCCACGCAGCCACUUAGUGACAGAGUCAUCAGAGCUGCAUUUCAGUAGCCAAAGGGAACAGGAACAAGCCCGGCUUCCUCCGGUAUGUGUGUUUAUUUUCAUUUUAGAGAUAAAGAAACUCAGACUGAGAGGGGUUGAGUAACUUGCUCAAGGUCACAGCCAUUAAAGUGCAAAGCAAGGAUGCAAAGCCAGGAGGAAGACAAUGGUGGUAUAGUGCCCUAGGAUGAGAACGGAAACGUCUGAGCUGCAGCUUUGGUUUUUCCUGAGAGCCUGCAUUGUUUGUCUUCAUCUAACCCAGCUUUGAUGGACAUCUCUGGCAGUUGCCUGUACACAUGCUCUAAUGAAAUAUUAGGAAUGGCUGUACAUUGAAAAGAAGCCCCAUAUUAUAUAUCACUGCUGGUAGUAUUCAUAUUUUUUACACACACUGUUUAUUGCUUAUAUGUAGAAGAAAUGAAACUAGUUUUCAGAGUUGUUAUUAAUAUGAAUAUAUAUCAUGUACUAAUGUCGAGACAGGAAAAAUACAUUUCCAGCAUUAGCAGUCCUUCAUUUCCUGUCUCCAACAGAAAAUCCACUCCUUUGGAGAAUAAUGUAAGUCUUGAUAAUAAAAUAAGAGCUUUGAUUAAAAACAGCAUACAGCUUCAAAGUGGAAUGUAAAGGAUUAGUAAAAAUCAUAUCUCAUGUUAUUUCCUAGCCCUCACACCACAGCUGAUGUCAGGCUGGGUUGUUAUUAUGGAAAACAGUUUGGGAAUUAAUGCAAAAACAUACUCACUUUAUAUAUUUCUGUCUUAGUAAAAGGAUUUAUUUGAAGAUAUGAA